UAUUGUUUUUUUUAGCAGGGUAUUGUGUCAUAUUUGUCGUUCAGCCAACAAGACUGUGUGAAACAGGCGACAGAACGGUGCUUCGGACAAGCGUUCUGUUCAAAACUUUGCAUAUUCCACAGUAUGUUACGUUAGCCUACAAGCAAUAGGCAUUAUAGGCCAGAUAUUAGAAAAAUUUACCUAAAGUCGUAUUUAAAUCUUCAGUGUUGGGAUGUCUACAUAUUUCUCUAAGGCAUAGGCUACAGGUGCUUUGACUGUGUAUUACUUCCAUAAUCCCCAUCUUCACAUCUUGUAGCCUACCCUGCAGCAAAGAUAAUGAACACUGAUCUUAUUCACAUAAUAAUCCAAGAUUAAUUAUAAAGAUUAGAUUGUAUGUUUCUAUUUAUUUCACUGACAUGGACUGUCAAAAUUCUCUUCUUUUCAGUGUGUUUGAAAAAUGGAGCAAUUGGAUGAUUUGGAGUUGGAGGAUGAUCUUCAGGACACAGAUAAACUUCUGCAGAAUUUACAUAAUGAGGCAGAGGCACAGAGGAAAGAAAACCCAGCGCCGGUCAAAUGGAGGAAGAGAGAUGGGCAAGGAAAUCGUAUUCCUCAAAGGCCAUUUAGGAAAAAGCCACCUGCACACCGCGGCCCCGCAAAGCGACAGAAGUGUCCAGGGACAGUGCAUUCCCAAUGUGAUGUACCAACUGAUGUCAGUGUCAGCUUCACAGAAGUAACUCAAUCCAAGGUACUUCGCAAGGAGCU